rnacentral:rRNA from 1 species
CAGUAGCCGCGGUAAUACGAAGGGUGCAAGCGUUACUCGGAAUUACUGGGCGUAAAGCGUGCGUAGGUGGUGGUUUAAGUCCGUUGUGAAAGCCCUGGGCUCAACCUGGGAAUUGCAGUGGAUACUGGGUCACUAGAGUGUGGUAGAGGAUAGUGGAAUUUCCGGUGUAGCAGUGAAAUGCGUAGAGAUCGGAAGGAACAUCUGUGGCGAAGGUGACUAUCUGGGCCAACACUGACACUGAGGCACGAAAGCGUGGGGAGCAAACAGGAUUAGAUACCCCGGUAGUCCCUGUCUCUUAUAC